rnacentral:rRNA from 1 species
CCCUAUGGGGCGCAGCAGGUCGUUGUUAUGGAUCACACAUGUGCCGGCUCCGUUUGCGCCCAUGCCUGUUGUUCUGCCGGAGAUGAGCAGCCGCCUUGACGAAUCACUAUUUGCUGGUGAGGCGCGGAUGGAAAGGGCCUCUGACUGGCUUGACGGCAUCAACCUCCUUUAUGUGGCUUUUACAAGGGCAGUGGAUGCCCUGCUGGUCAUGGCCCCGGAAGUGACCAGGACAACGGGGGGAACCGCCAGUGCUGCUAGCCUUAUCAAUGCGGCUGUUGCAAAGCUGUCCGAUGAUUUUAUUGUCAC